rnacentral:rRNA from 1 species
ACCGGGGGCCCCGCCCCAAACCGGUGGACGCAUGUGGAUUGAAUUCGGAAGCCAACGCCCCAGGAACCCUGGCCACCUUUUGGACAUGGCCCGGACCCGCCCAGGGGAGACCGUGGCCUUCCCUUUCGGGGACCUGGGGACGCAGGUGGCUGGCAUGGCUGGUCGUCAGCCUNGUNUCGUGNNGAUGUUGGGUUUAAGUCCCGCAACGAGCGCAACCCUCGCUGUUAGUUGCUACCAGGUUUGGCUGGGCACUGUAACAGGACCGCCCGGUGGUAAGCCGGAGGAAGGUGGGGAUGACGUCAAGUCCUCAUGGCCCUUACGGGGUGGGCUACACACGUGCUACAAUGGCGACUACAGAGGGCUGCAAACCCGCGAGGGGGAGCCAAUCCCUAAAGGUCGUCUCAGUUCGGAUUGCACUCUGCAACUCGAGUGCAUGAAGUUGGAAUCGCUAGUAAUCGCGGAUCAGCAUGCCGCGGUGAAUACGUUCCCGGGCCUUGUACACACCGCCCGUCACACCAUGGGAGUUGGCUUUACCCGAAGNCCGUGUGCUAACCGCAAGGAGGCAGCGGGCCACGGUAGGGUCAGCGACUGGGGUGAAGUCGUAACAAGGUAGCCGGAGUUUGAUCCUGGCUCAGAGCGAACGCUGGCGGCAUGCUUAACACAUGCAAGUCGCACGAGGGGCAACCCUAGUGGCGGACGGGUGAGUAACGCGUAGGUAUCUGUCCAUGGGUGGGGGAUAACAGCGGGAAACUGCUGCUAAUACCGCAUGACACCUGAGGGUCAAAGGCGCAAGUCGCCUGUGGAGGAGCCUGCGUACGAUUAGCUUGUUGGUGGGGUAAAGGCCUACCAAGGCGACGAUCGUUAGCUGGUCUGAGAGGAUGAUCAGCCACAUUGGGACUGAGACACGGCCCAAACUCCUACGGGAGGCAGCAGUGGGGAAUAUUGGACAAUGGGGGCAACCCUGAUCCAGCAAUGCCGCGUGUGUGAAGAAGGUCUUCGGAUUGUAAAGCACUUUCGACAGGGACGAUGAUGACGGUACCUGUAGAAGAAGCCCCGGCUAACUUCGUGCCAGCAGCCGCGGUAAUACGAAGGGGGCCAGCGUUGCUCGGAAUGACUGGGCGUAAAGGGCGCGUAGGCGGAUUGAUCAGUCAGGCGUGAAAUUCCUGGGCUUAACCUGGGGGCUGCGUUUGAUACGGUCAGUCUAGAGUGGGAUAGAGGGUUGUGGAAUUCCCAGUGUAAAGGUGAAAUUCGUAGAUAUUGGGAAGA